UCUCCCCAUCACUUCCGUCACGUCACUUCACCGCCACCGCACCCGUCGAACCACCGGAAAAACUCCUGUGCCGACAUCACCCAUCUCCUAUCGCCUAUCACCUUUUCCCUUUUUGAAGACGUUUCCAAAAGCUGUAAAGGGAGAGAUUCUUAAAUCUUUCGGUCUGGGAGAUAAUCGUCCUUCAAUUCGAUGAACAAUGGCAAGAACCACCAUACUCUACACCCCCAACGGCUCUUUCCCUUCCCAAUCAGUCUGAAAAGGUGAGAUUUUUCACCCCUUUCACCAUCUCAUCUGUUGAAGACAUCAAUUUUUCCCCCUCUUUAAUUCGAAAUUCAAAGGCAAAAGCUUCUUAAAGAAGCUGUUGAAACACCCCAACCUUCAGCUAUAAAUACUGGGCUUUGAGGGCUGUUUUAGAGAGGUUGAAUAACCAGAAAAAAUCCCUUUUAUUUUUCACAACCUUUCCCCUCAUAAAAUUCCUUUUGUUAAUAACUUGGAUUCUGUGAAAAAUCUUAUUUUUUUACUAAGUUUUUGAUUGUCGAAAUCCGUUCUUUUAGUUCUCGGCUGAGGAAGGACCACUUCGAGCGGAUUUGGAGAUUCGACAACUACAAUAGCCUCAGUUCGCUGUCACGAAGAAGCACCCUGGGAGUUUAUCAACAAACUCCACGAGCUGUCCAAUUGGACUAAGUUACAAGCUGCGUCUGCCCCCAUUUUAUUCCUCCUAGAGUCACUAUUUCUUAUGUCUUCCGAUGGAGUCCCCUAGUUCGGUGUUGGGAUUCUUGAAAGAGAUGUCCAGCCACUUCUCUCUUCUUGUUGGCCUCGCAUUUACUUACAACCGUAUUCGUUGUAUUACUUGAACUAACACUUGCCAUUUUGAGUUUUCGGUGUUGAUAUGCUCUUGUUUGUGAACCAA